UACGAAGGGGGCUAGCGUUGUUCGGAAUUACUGGGCGUAAAGCGAGCGUAGGUUGCUCGAUUAGUCAGUGGUGAAAUCCCAGAGCUUAACUUUGGAACUGCCAUUGAAACUGUCGAGCUGGAAUCUCAGAGGGGAUAGCGGAAUUCCAAAUGUAGGGGUGAAAUCCGUAGAUAUUUGGAGGAACACCGGUGGCGAAGGCGGCAUCCUGGACCAACACUGACGCUGAGGAGCGAAAGCCAGGGGAGCAAACGGG
rnacentral:rRNA from 1 species